AUUGAACGCUGGCGGCAGGCCUAACACAUGCAAGUCGAGCGAGCGUCGGACGGGUGAGUAUAGCCUGGGAAACUCCCUCCUGGAGGGGGAUAACUACUGGAAACGGUAGCUAAUACCGCACACCAUCUGAUGUGCUCCGAUGCGAUUAGCUAGUAGGUGGGGUAAUGGCUCACCUAGGCGACGAACCCUAGCUGGUCUGAGAGGAUGACCAGCAACACUGGAACGAGGACAGGGUCCAAACUCGAAGGGGGGGCAGAAGUGGGGAAUAUAGCACAAUGGGCACAAGCCUGAUGAAGCAAGGCCGGGUGUGUGAAGAAGGACUUCGGGUGGAAAAGCACUUUAAGCGGGGAGGCGUUACCCGCAGAGGAAGCACCGGCUAACUACGUGCCAGCAGCCGCGGUAAUUC
rnacentral:rRNA from 1 species